UGUUGGACAAUGGGCGCAAGCCUGAUCCAGCAAUACCGCGUGUGUGAAGAAGGCCUUAGGGUUGUAAAGCACUUUCAAUUGGGAGGAAAACCUGCCGGUCAAUACCCGGUAGCUUGACAUUACCUUUAGAAGAAGCACCGGCUAACUCCGUGCCAGCAGCCGCGGUAAUACGGAGGGUGCGAGCGUUAAUCGGAAUUACUGGGCGUAAAGCGUGCGUAGGCGGUUCGUUAAGUCAGAUGUGAAAGCCCUGGGCUCAACCUGGGAACUGCAUUUGAAACUGGCGGACUAGAGUUUAGUAGAGGGGAGUGGAAUUUCAGGUGUAGCGGUGAAAUGCGUAGAUAUCUGAAGGAACACCAGUGGCGAAGGCGACUCCCUGGACUAGAACUGACGCUGAGUACGAAA
rnacentral:rRNA from 1 species